rnacentral:rRNA from 1 species
UACGUACCACACGAACGUUAUUCGGAAUCACUGGGCUUAAAGGGUGCGCAGGCUGUGCAGAAAGUCGGGUGUGAAAUCCCUCGGCUCAACCGAGGAACUGCGCCCGAAACUACUGUGCUCGAGGGAGAUAGAGGUGAGCGGAACUUAGGGUGGAGCGGUGAAAUGCGUUGAUAUCCUAAGGAACACCGGUGGCGAAAGCGGCUCACUGGAUCUCUUCAGACGCUCAUGCACGAAAGCCAGGGGAGCGAACGGG